rnacentral:rRNA from 1 species
CCUACGGGUGGCAGCAGUGAGGAAUAUUGGUCAAUGGCCGCAAGGCUGAACCAGCCAAGCCGCGUGAGCGAUGACGGUUCUAUGGAUUGUAAACUCCUUUUGUCAGGGAGCAAAGGGCGCUACGUGUGUCGUUUUGCGAGUCUCUGAAGAAAAAGCAUCGGCUAACUCCGUGCCAGCAGCCGCGGUAAUACGGAGGAUGCGAGCGUUAUCCGGGUUUAUUGGGUUUAAAGGGUGCGCAGGCGGAAGGCAAAGUCGGCGGUAAAAUCUCGGGGCUCAACCCCGUCGUGCCUUUGACACUGGGGGUCUAGAGUGUACGAGAGGUAGGCGGAAUGCGUGGUGUAGCGGUGAAAUGCAUAGAUAUCACGCAGAACACCGAUUGCGAAGGCAGCAUACCG